rnacentral:misc_RNA from 1 species
GAUGAAGAACGCAGUGAAAUGCGAUAAGUAAUGUGAAUUGCAGAAUUCAGUGAAUCAUCGAAUCUUUGAACGCACAUUGCGCCCGCCAGUAUUCUGGCGGGCAUGCCUGUUCGAGCGUCAUUUCAACCAUCAAGCCCCAGGCUUGUGUUGGGGACCUGCGGCUGCCGCAGGCCCUGAAAACCAGUGGCGGGCUCGCUGUCACACCGGGCGUAGUAAUACAUCUCGCUCAGGGCGUGCUGCGGGUUCCGGCCGUUAAAAAGCCUUAUUUACCCAAGGUUGACCUCGGAUCAGGUAGGAAGACCCGCUGAACUUAAGCAUAUCAAUAAGCGGAGGA